rnacentral:RNase_P_RNA from 1 species
AGACCAGACGAUCGCGUGCAUAUGCAUGAGGAAAGUCCGGGCUCCGCAGGGCAAGGAUGACGGAUAACGUCCGCCGCAGGUAACUGUAGGGAAAGUGCAACAGAAACAUUCCGCCGAAACGGUGAGGUAAGAGCUCACCGGGGCUGUGGAGACACAGCCGCCGUGUAAACCCCAUCCGGAGCAAGACAGUCAGGGCUUUGAAAGGUGCGGCCCGUACCGGCCCGAGAGGUAUGUCGCAGGAGGCUGCAGGCAACUGCAGUCCUAGAUGGAUGAUCGUCAGAUACAGAACCCGGCUUACGGUCUGCC